AGCCGGCAGGCUAUCCAGGUCCUCCUUGGGGUCCUCCAAACGGAGCGACAGCACGGUUGGGGGCCCACCAUGGAGACCCUGGUCUUUUUGUUUUGGAUUGCUACUGGCGCAGCCUAUCGGGUUGUGUCCAGAGCUUUUGGCAUUCCAAUGUCAUCUGUCCAUAGAAUGGUGCACAGCAUUGCGGAGGUGGUAGCUGUGCGGGCAGUUUCAUCAAGCUGCCAUCAAAUGAUGAGGAGGUCAAGGCCAUGGGGGAAGGCUUUGCCCUGCUGGCAGGGCACCCUGCUUUCGCUAAAGCAGCUGGGGCCAUCGACGGGUUCCACAUCAAAAUUAAAUGUCCUGGCGGCCCUGAUGUUACUACGUGAACAGGAAGCUGUAUCCAUCCAUGGUGCUGCAGGCAGUCUGUGACCAUCAGGGUUGCUUCAUUGACACCUUUGUGGGCUUCCCAGGAAGCGUGCAUGAUGCACGCAUCCUGCGAAAUAGUUUGAUUUACCUGGCUGGCAAUUACCCUCCACCAGGCCAUUUCAUCUUGGGUGAUGGUGGCUAUCCAUACCUUACAGCCGAUAGCCCUUAUCACACCAUAUAAGCGGCCACUCUGAGGCAUGGCAGAGCAACGGUUUAACACUUAUCACUCUCGGGCCCGCUCAAUUGUUGAGCGGGCCUUUGGGAUGAUGAAAACCAGCUUCAGGUGCAUCUUUUUAGAGGCACUUGCAGUGCAUAGUGAGUUUGUGCCAAAAGUAUGUCAUUUCAUAAUUAUCCAUAUUUGUCUGUUUAACUUUCUUAUUGUACAUUAUAAUUGUAAAAAAACUUUUAUGGAUUAACCUUAUUAGUACACCUUCAUUUACAUCAACGUUCCUGUUUGUCUCUUUAAACCUUUUCCUUGUGCAGGUGGUGACUGCGUGUGCAGUACUGCACAACAUUUGUGUUGGUGUGGGCGAUGACCUCCCAGUGGAGGAUGGGGCCAUGGAGGGAGAUGACCCCUCCUCCUGAAGGAGAAUGUGGCACCGAGUCACAGAUUGGAGCUCCUUGGCGUGCGGCCCUGGCCAAUGCCAUUACCCCUCUUGAAGUGGCUCCACAGGACCACAACUACUUUGUUCUGGAUAUCCUCCCUCACCAGAAGCAGGAAUGGAUCCUCCCUCCCUCUUCUCCCUGCUCCGGCCCCUGCUGCGCCCGCUGCUCCUGCCCCUGCUGCGCCCGCUGCUCCUGCCCCUGCUGCGCCCGCUGCUCCUGCCCCUGCUUCAACUGCCCCUGCUUCAACUGCCCCUGCUGCUCCUGCCCCUGCGGCUGUCGCUGUGCUGGCUCCUGCUCUCCCUCCUCUCACCACCUCAUCCUCCUCCUCCACUCUGACCCUAACCUGGCCUGGCCUGGCUGGGAGAGAGCCCACUACCACUGGCGGUGACACGGCUCCUGACCUGCCAAUGAGCUUGUCCAUUAAGGCAAACCAGCACCAUGUCCCUGCUGUGGGCCUGCCGUCCUCUGUGCCUUGACCUGAGGCAGGGCCCUUGCAAUACUGACAAUAAAAAUAUGAUAAACAACAAGGCAACUAGCAAUCUAAUAUUUCCCUGUUAUACCUACAACUAUGGCACAGCAAGAAGGCACUUAAUGUCAAAACAAUAUUGCUGUCAUCUUACUCCUCACCUUAUAUUUUGUUUUAAGGUCAUCCCACUUUUUUUUGGCCUGCAGUGGGGUCACCCGGCCUGUCAACUCCAGUUGUUCAAUCAAAGUGCUACGAACACACAAGUCAAUUAUAUAAAUUACAAUUAUAUACGUUCAUUAAAAAUUACAAACAUUGCAAAUGAUCGGUGGAGCAUUUAUUUAACAACAUUGGAUCCCACAAG
ensembl:lncRNA